UUUGUCCCCUAUCUGACACAAGACAACAAAAAAUUCCAAACACUGCAAUUAACAAUCCAUAAUAUAAUCAGCGCAUUUCAACUACUAACAAAACCAAUUUUUUUCUUAGAGUAAAUUUUAUGUAAACAUAUAUUGUCUACUGAUCAAUUCAUCAGUAAUGAAUUACAUGAUAUGCAACGAAUUUGCAAACUAAUGAUUUAUUGACAACCUAGCUGUAUGUUUUGUUCUAUUUUAUUUUUUUCUUUUCAGAACAUCAAGCUCUUACAAAUGAUGUAUAUUUAAUAGAUGGUAACCAGACCAGCUUAACAGCUAAUCACAUUGCUUGAAAAUGCCAUAUGCCGUAGGCGCUGCAGAAUGUUAGAACAAUAUUAUUUUGAGAAAAUGAAAAAGUCAUUGAUCACAAUGAUUCAGAAUUUAUGCACCAUUGAUUACCAGUUGAAAACAAUUCAAAACCAGUUACAAAGGUCACCAGCCACAGAAUUUAAGGUGGAUCACAUCAUUUUAGUGACAAAUUAUCUCCUAUAUCUCACAGAACUCACAACAAAACAGAUUGUUUUUUACCCAUAUGUUGGACAUCUGUCAAACAAUUGCCAGAUCAAACCUUGCUAAGGUAUCUACAGUCGCAGUAGCAAAUGAAGCUGAAGACAACUAAAGUGCAACAAGUGUUGGCCCAUGCCAUAAUAUCCACAAGAUUUCAUAAUUUUUCCUUUAUUGCAUUGUGUUGGUGUGUUUUUGUGUUUUUGAUCUAAAGCAAACAAAUGUUGGCCCAUGGCGUAAUAUCCACAAGAUUUCAUACUUUUUUCAUUUUUGCGUUGAUUUCUUCUGUUCAUGUGGGUUUGAGUUAAAGCAGACAGCGAACCAUGAAUAAAGAAUUUAACUUUGAAAAAGUUA